GCCAAUCGGAACUCAUGGCGGGGCUGCUGGGUCUUCCAGGAGCGCGCAUGAGCGGACGCUGCCUAUGGGUUGCCGGGCGAGAUGUAACCGGCUGCUGAGCUGGCAGUUCUGUGUCGCUAGGCUUCGGCCCGGCCGCCGCCACACAUAAGCUGCGAUGAGGAGCUUUACGACUUCCCGGUCUUCGGGGCCGGGCGCAGCAAGGGCCAGACUCUGCGCUAGCAGGCGCUGCGCGCCAACCGGCCGGCACCUGUCGCAGAAGGUGCAACCGAUCGCACUGUCGCGCAGAAGCUCCUCAAUGGCCAGCACCAGCUGCAGCCCCGGCCGCCCACUCGCCUCACUUGAGCCUGUCUGGCAGCCUGCUAUCAAUUAUAUUGAUAGUAAAUUUGAGGACUACCUAAAUGCAGAAUCGCGAGUGAACAGAUGUCAGAUGCCUGGUAACAGGGUGCAGUGUUGUUUAUACUUCAUUGCUCCUUCAGGACAUGGGGCCAGACCCAAAGGCUCAAUGUGAAAGUUCCUGGACUCAGAGGUGUCACGUAAGAAAGUGAGUGGAAACUUGGGAGUAUGGCUGUCCCAUGAAGAGCUCACCCUCUGGAAAACAGAAAAGGGUCCUAAUCUUGGAGGUUUGACACUCAUCAUAAUGUGGGAAUGACAGCUAGAAAAAAACGGUGAACUCCAGGAAGGCUUGAAGGCAUUGGAGCAAGGCCAGCAGCCUCUCCCUCCCACCAUCACUUCCAUGAGAACCA
ensembl:lncRNA SEPTIN7P9 septin 7 pseudogene 9